rnacentral:rRNA from 1 species
UACAGAGGGUGCGAGCGUUAAUCGGAAUUACUGGGCGUAAAGCGCACGUAGGUGGCGACGUAAGUCGGGUGUGAAAGCCCCGGGCUCAACCUGGGAAUUGCAUUCGAGACUGCAUUGCUGGAGUACGGAAGAGGAGGGCGGAAUUCCCGGUGUAGCAGUGAAAUGCGUAGAUAUCGGGAGGAACAUCAGUGACGAAGGAGGCCCUCUGGUCCAGUACUGACACUCAAGUGCGAAAGCCUGGGGAGCACACAGG